GACUCUUUAAAAAAGAAUCUGUUUACUGAAUACUGAGACACAAAUUUGGAAGAACAGAGCAAAGUAGAGAAAAAAGCCACUUUUCUCUCUUUACUUCUAAAAUGCCAUUUUUUAGACCCUUUCUGUCACUAUAAGCCAUUGCUUUGAGUGAGGUUGUGAUUGAUCAUUAUGUAAACUAAACAGAUAGAUUGAACCGAUGGAGGGCGGUAUAAUCCAGGCUUAAAAUAAGGAAAAACAUGCUGAAUCGGUUUCCUUAUGCACGGGAAACAUGGAUGUGGGAGGGGGAAAAGGGGAUAAUGUCAAUGGUGUGAAUGCUGAGUCUAAUAAGGGUGGUGAUAAUAAUUGGAAUUUAAUUGAAAAUUUGACAGAGAUAGAGGUAGUGGCUAAUCAGGAUGAUGAUGGAGUUGCAGGGGGUAAGCCGUGUGUGGGGAUGGAAUUUGAGUCGGAGGAUGCAGGCAAGACAUUUUAUGAUGGAUAUGCUAGGCAGUUGGGGUUUAGCACUCAUGUUGGUCAGUUUACACGAGCGACGCCUGAUGGGCCAAUUGUAACAUGGGAUUUUGCAUGUUCAAGGGAGGUUUUUAAGAGGAAAAAUGUUGAAAGUUGUAAUGCCAUGUUUAGGAUAGAGAGAAAGGAUGGAGGGAAGUGGAUCGCAACAAAGUUCGUGGAGGAUCAUAAUCAUUCUAUGGUUACUCCUAGUAAGGUUCAUUACCUUAGACCUCGUAGGCAUUUAGCUGGAGCCACUAAGAAUGUUUCAGAAACAUUGGAAGCCACUGCUGAUGUUUAUGUUUCAUCAGAUGAAAAUCAUGCUUGUUAUGAAGCAACGAGGAUCAAGAAUGCCUCCUCUGUCAUGCCUAAUCGCCUUGGCAGGAGUAUGGGACCUUCAGGCUAUUUCACACCUUCUAGCCAAAGGAGAACACUGGGGAGAGAUGCUCAAAAUCUCCUCAAUUAUUUCAAAAAGAUGCAGGCUGAAAAUCCUGGCUUCUAUUAUGCUAUACAGCUUGAUGAUGAUAAUCGGAUGACUAAUGUUUUCUGGGCUGAUGCAAGAUCAAGGGCAGCUUACAAUUACUUUGGAGAUGCAGUUACUUUUGAUACAAUGUAUCGACCAAAUCAGUAUCAGAUCCCAUUUGCUCCUUUUACUGGAAUAAAUCAUCAUGGCCAGAUGGUGUUAUUUGGUUGUGCAUUACUUCUAGAUGAGUCUGAAUCUUCCUUUACUUGGCUAUUUAGGACGUGGUUAUCUGCGAUGAAUGAUCAACCCCCUGUUUCUAUUAUCACAGACCAAGAUAGAGCAAUACAAGCGGCAGUUUCACAGGUUUUUCCAGAAACUCGCCACUGCAUUUGCAAGUGGCAUAUCUUGAGGGAAGGACAAGAAAGGUUGGCACAUAUCUACCUUGCUCAUCCUUCCUUUUAUGGUGAGCUUUAUAGCUGCAUAAACUUUUCUGAGACAACGGAGGAUUUUGAGUUGUCAUGGGGAGCUCUCCUUGAUAAAUAUGAUCUACAUAAAAAUGAGUGGCUUCAGGCAGUAUAUAAUGCUCGUAAACAGUGGGCUCCUGUUUAUUUUCGUGGUACUUUCUUUGGUACUCUUUCUUCAAACCAAGGGGUUAGCUCCUUUUUCAACGGGUACGUAAAUCAGCAGACAACCAUACCCCUUUUUUUUAAGCAGUACGAAAGGGCUUUAGAAGAUUCUCUAGAGAAAGAAAUAGAAGCAGAUUUUGAUACAAUCUGCACCACACCAGUGCCGAAGACACCAUCACCUAUGGAACAGCAAGCAGCAAACCUCUACACAAAGAAAGUUUUCUCAAAGUUUCAGGAGGAGCUAGUUGAAACUUUUGUGUACACUGCAAACAAGAUUGAGGGCGAUGGCAUAGUCUGUAAAUACAGGGUUGCAAAAUAUGAACAUGAGCAUAAAGCAUACUUUGUUGCACUGAAUAUUUCGGAUAUGAAAGCAAGUUGUACCUGUCAGAUGUUUGAAUAUUCUGGCAUUCUUUGUAGGCAUAUACUGACAGUCUUCACUGUGACAAAUGUUCUUACCCUUCCAUCCCAUUACAUAUUAAAGCGCUGGACUAGAAGUGCCAAAUCUUGGGUUGGAUUGGAUGAGCAACAUGCUGAUCCUCAAGGUAUUGAGACACUAACCACACGCUUCAAUAACCUGUGUCAGGAAGCUUUAAAAUUGGCAGAAGAAGGAGCAAUGGCUCCAGAGACAUAUAAUGCAGCAAUCAAUGCUCUUAAGGAGGCUGGGAAAAAGAUUACCUCUGUAAAGAAGAAUGUAUCUAAAGUCAGACCACCUAGCUCUCGUACUAGUGGGAAUAAUCAUGAAGAUGGUUGCAAGAAAACCACUUCUCCUGUCUCCAAAAUGAUCCCAUCUUUGUGGCCAUGGCAAGAUGCAAUACCACCUCAUUUUAAUCUUAAUGAUGUUGGGGCCCCACUUACUGACUUGAAUCAACCUAGCAUGGUGCCUGUAUCUCUUCAUCGUGAUACUGGUCCCCUUGAUAGCACGGUGGUUCUCACAUGUUUUAAGUCCAUGACUUGGGUUAUAGAAAAUCAAAAUGCAAUGGAAGCUGGAAAAGUAGCUGUCAUAAACUUGAAGCUGCAUGACUAUGGCAAGAAUCCUUUAGGAGAGACAGAAGUGCAGUUUAGGCUCACAAGGGUUACUCUGGAACCAAUGUUGCAAUCAAUGGCUUACAUUAGUCAACAGCUAUCAACACCACUAAAUCGAGUUGCUGUCAUAAAUUUGAAGCUCCAAGAUACCAAGACAACUUCUGGAGAAACAGAAGUAAAAUUUCAAGUGUCAAAAGAUACUUUGGGUUCUAUGUUAAGAUCGAUGGCCUAUAUACGUGAGCAACUUUGACAGUUGUGUUCUUCAAUCAAAUGACAAACUCUUCAAGAAGAUGGUUAAGCUCCAUUGCAGGGCGCAUAGCUCUAUCCGAACUCUCCAUGUGUGGAACACUUGUACUUCAUUCGCCGCUGCCGAUAAGUGACUUUAAUUAAAGUGGACCCGGAAGAGAAAAUGGAGAUUUGGAGAUGAGUUUUUAUUACAAGGUAGAUGCCAAUGGUAGAAAAGGAAAUAGGAGGAAAGGAAGAGAGAGGAAAGGCUAGGCCAACCACCAGUUUUAGAGCUAACAAAGCAACCAUGAGCUUCAAAGCUUGUCCGACUAAAUUUGAUCCAAUAUGAGUUCACUUCAAAGAAAAUUUAAGGUCAUAGUCCAACAAAAUUUGUGUUGGAAAAAG